CCUCCUUUCUAAGGAUGAUUAAGGAUUAUUUCUUAAUCUAAAUGUUUAACAGGUUAAUGUUGACCGUCCUCAUUUCUCUUCUUGAAGUAGUGUUUCUCUUUUCUGCAUAGGGGCCGGUAGCUCAGUUGGUUAGAGCACACCCUUGAUAAGGGUGGGGUCGAAAGUUCGAGUCUUUCUCGGCCCACCAAUAUAAAGGGGGAUUAGCUCAGCUGGGAGGGCGCCUGAUUUGCAUUCAGGAGGUCAGCGGUUCGAUCCCGCUAUCCUCCACCAAGAAACACUUAGUUAUUUAAUUCGUAAAUAUUUUUUAUAUUAUCAAUAUCUAUAUCCGAUUGUUCGAAUAGAUGAACAAUCAUGAAUGUUCGAAUAGACGAACAUUCCAACAAAAUUUGAUUCAACACAGAAUUUUUUUCUGUGCAUAAAUCAAGCGUAUAAGGGCGUGUGGCGGAUGCCUUGGCACUGAAAGCCGAUGAAGGACGUGGUAUACUGCG
rnacentral:misc_RNA from 1 species